AGGACGAACGCUGGCGGCGUGCUUAACACAUGCAAGUCGAGCGGUAAGGCCUUUCGGGGUACACGAGCGGCGAACGGGUGAGUAACACGUGGGUGAUCUGCCCUGCACUUCGGGAUAAGCCUGGGAAACUGGGUCUAAUACCGGAUAUGACCUCCUAUCGCAUGGUGGGUGGUGGAAAGAUUUAUCGGUGCAGGAUGGGCCCGCGGCCUAUCAGCUUGUUGGUGGGGUAAUGGCCUACCAAGGCGACGACGGGUAGCCGACCUGAGAGGGUGACCGGCCACACUGGGACUGAGACACGGCCCAGACUCCUACGGGAGGCAGCAGUGGGGAAUAUGCACAAUGGGCGAAAGCCUGAUGCAGCGACGCCGCGUGAGGAUGACGGCCUUCGGGUUGUAAACCUCUUCAGCAGGACGAAGCGCAAGUGACGGUACUGCAGAAGAAGCACGGCUAACUACGUGCCAGCGAGCCGAC
rnacentral:rRNA from 1 species